rnacentral:lncRNA from 1 species
UCUGCAGCAUCUCUUUCUUCUUGCAGCCCUCUUUUGAGCAACGGUAUGUAAAAAUCUAAGAGAGCAAAGUGACUUCAACAAGCAAUUCUUUUUUUUGGAAACAGGGUCUUGCUCUGUUGCCCAGGCUGAAGUGCAGUGGCUUGAUCUUGGCUCACUGCAACCUCUGCCUCCUGGACUCAAGUGAUUCUCCUGCUUCAGCCUAGUACCUGGUACUACAGGCACACACCGCCACGUCCAGCUAAUUUUGUCUAUUUUCAUAGAGAUGAGGUCUUGCCACGUUACCCAGGCUGGUCUCAAACUCAGCCUCAAGUGAUCCUCCUGCCUUGGCCUCCCAAAGUGCUAAAAGAUUACAUGUGUGAGCCACUGUGCCGGCCUUAAUAAAUUCUUUAACAGCCCCCAGUAAGAACAUUCACAUUUAAACCAGACACGGUUCCUGUCUGCACAGAGUACAGAUGCAAAGUUUCAUUUGACCAUCUCAGUGCAGGUAAGAAGAAGAACAUGGGGCUGGACCCAGUGGCUCACGCCUGUCAUCCCAGCACUUUAGGAAGCCAAGACGAGUGGAUUGCCUGAGCUCAGGAGUUCGAGACAGCGGGCCAGGAGCAGCCGGGAGGGCAUACCUGUGUGGGGGCCUUGGGGCAGUGCUGGGUGAGCCCCCAGCGAGGGAAGCUGUGUCGUGUGGAAGAAGCGGGUGCGCCAGAGAGCUGCGAUGUCUCAGAGGCUUAAGAGACCUCCAGAGGCUGAGGGUCCCAGGGCACAGCCACAGCAGGGAGAACUAGAAGGCUGAGACAGGAGAAUCGCUUUAACCCGGGAGGCAGAGGUUGCAAUGAGCCGAGACGGCACCAUUCACCAUUGCACUCCAGCCUGGGUGACAGAGCAAGACUCUGUCUCAAAACAAACAAACAAACAAACAAAUGAAACGCACAUGAACAGAAUGGAUCUAGAAAGCCAUGUGAAUUCUCCAUCUCAGGAGGGAAACUAGUAAAUUCCAGUCAAGAAAGACGAACCUGACCUGGGAUCCCUCAUAUUAAAGAACAUUUAUAAAACUGAAAACUCAGGCCCCUCGCAGUUUAGGACAGGGAUAACGCAGCGUU